AGUGUAAGUGCAAGGGACAUGUCUCAUUGUAAGGAAGCCCAAGAGUAAGCUAUGUGAGGUCGACGGCGAUGCUUAAAAAGCAAUCGACUUACGAGGGUGUGAAAAAAGGGCUCGAUAUUAAAUCGAGAAAGUAUGAUUUUUAUAGUUUGAAAAAAUGGUUUUUUGAACUAAAUUCAAAUGCAAUAACUAUGCAUUAUUAACAAAUGAAAUUAUAAUAAACAUAAAAAAGGAUAUUAACAAAAUACUAAAAGAAUAAAAAAUGCUAAAGGAAGAUAAAAUCAAAUAAGAAGCAAAAGGUAUCACACAUGAGUAUUGAACCCUCCCCACCUAAUAUUAUGCAACUAAACUCUCUCCACUAGGCCACUCAAGAUCAGUUAUCAUUUUAGCAAACACUUGGGGAUAUAAACAGAACUAGCUAGAGACAGUUUAGAAAACAAAUCAAUUAAAAGAGGGGAUAGGCUAAUGUUACUGGACAGCCUAACUAAACUAAACAACAUUAAUAUACACUUUGUAAUAAAGGAAAAAAAGAAAAAAAAGAAAUGCUAAACAUAUUACAAAUUUUGUGGUUUUU
rnacentral:lncRNA from 1 species